UACGGGGGGGGCAAGCGUUGUUCGGAAUUACUGGGCGUAAAGGGCGCGUAGGCGGCCAACUAAGUCAGACGUGAAAUCCCUCGGCUUAACCGGGGAACUGCGUCUGAUACUGGAUGGCUGGAGUUUGGGAGAGGGAUGCGGAAUUCCAGGUGUAGCGGUGAAAUGCGUAGAUAUCUGGAGGAACACCGGUGGCGAAGGCGGCAUCCUGGACCAAUACUGACGCUGAGGAGCGAAAGCCAGGGGAGCAAACGGG
rnacentral:rRNA from 1 species